GAUGAACGCUGGCGGCGUGCCUAAUACAUGCAAGUCGAGCGAACAGAUGAGGAGCUUGCUCCUCUGACGUUAGCGGCGGACGGGUGAGUAACACGUGGAUAACCUACCUAUCAGACUGGGAUAACUUCGGGAAACCGGAGCUAAUACCGGAUAAUAUAUUGAACCGCAUGGUUCAAUAGUGAAAGACGGUUUUGCUGUCACUUAUAGAUGGAUCCGCGCCGCAUUAGCUAGUUGGUAAGGUAACGGCUUACCAAGGCAACGAUGCGUAGCCGACCUGAGGGGGUGAUCGGCCACACUGGAGCUGAGACACGCUCCAGACUCCUGCGGGAGGCAGCAGUAGGGAAUCUUCCGCAAUGGGCGAGAGCCUGACGGAGCAACGCCGCGUGAGUGAUGAAGGUCUUCGGAUCGUAAAACUCUGUUAUUAGGGAAGAACAAAUGUGUAAGUAACUAUGCACGUCUUGACGGUACCUAAUCAGAAAGCCACGGCUAACUACGUG
rnacentral:rRNA from 1 species